AUUGAACGCUGGCGGCAUGCUUUACACAUGCAAGUCGAGCGGCAGCGCGGGGGCAACCCUGGCGGCGAGCGGCGGACGGGUGAGUAAUGCAUCGGAACGUAUCCCGUAGUGGGGGACAACCCAGCGAAAGCUGGGCUAAUACCGCAUAUGCUCUACGGAGGAAAGCAGGGGACCCAGCGGGCAACUGAGGGGCCUUGUGCUAUGGGAGCGGCCGAUGUCCGAUUAGCUAGUUGGUGGGGUAAAGGCUUACCAAGGCGACGAUCGGUAGCUGGUCUGAGAGGAUGAUCAGCCACACUGGGACUGAGACACGGCCCAGACUCCUACGGGAGGCAGCAGUGGGGAAUUUUGGACAAUGGGGGCAACCCUGAUCCAGCCAUGCCGCGUGCGGGAAGAAGGCCUUCGGGUUGUAAACCGCUUUUGGUCGGGAAGAAAAGGUUUCUCCUAAUAGGGGGGACUGUUGACGGUACCGGCAGAAUAAGCACCGGCUAACUACGUGCCAGCAGCCGCGGUAAUACGUAGGGUGCGAGCGUUAAUCGGAAUUACUGGGCGUAAAGCGUGCGCAGGCGGUAAGUUAAGUCUGAUGUGAAAGCCCCGGGCUCAACCUGGGAAUGGCAUUGGAAACUGGCUUGCUGGAGUGUGGCAGAGGGGGGUGGAAUUCCGCGUGUAGCAGUGAAAUGCGUAGAGAUGCGGAGGAACACCGAUGGCGAAGGCAGCCCCCUGGGCCAACACUGACGCUCAGGCACGAAAG
rnacentral:rRNA from 1 species